UUGGGUAGCUAAUCUCAUUAUAUACAGCCAUUUAGGAGCUCCUUUGUUGUUCAAUAUGAGUUUACUCCACCGUACUUUUGGAAAGUCACCCUGUAGUCUCUUAUACACAGCUCUAAUAUACAAUCUGCCAGCCUGUAUCAUAUCUUGCUCACAGUAGCCAGCCCUUUCCAUUCCAAUUCUUGUCCUUAAAGAAUUUCCACAAAUCCAGUCCUUAAGAAUCUCCUACAGUAUAAACACUUAAGCCCAAUGAACUGGAUAGUUUUCUUUGGCAGUAUAUACACCUGUGCCCAAAAAGUCUGUAUUGUGAACAGUACACUUCUGAGCGAUUUGGUCCUUCCAGCAUAUGUUAGGAACCUUGCUGUCCGCGAAGUCAUCUUCCCAAGCAUUUUCUCUAUAAGUGUCUCACAUUGAAGUGCAGUUAGCCUCUUUGUACUCUAAGGGACCCCUAUAUACCUGAAAGGCAGUUUCUCCCUUAGAAUAUCCCAACAUAUCGAGUAUUUGUUGCUGUACUGGUGGUGCAGUUCCCCCAAAAUAGAUAGAACUUUUCUCUAAGUUAGCAAUGGGACGACGCAGCUGAAUAUCUUUGGAAUCUCUCCUGUAAUACAGUAAUAGAUUUUGAAUCAUCCCUGCAAUAAAGUAGCAGAUCAUCAGCAAAGCCUAAAAGUAGCCUCUGGUCUUAUUUUUUGUCGAUUCAUAUUUUCAUAUUUCUGUGCAGACAUUGUUCUAAAGGACAAGAUUGUUGUUUAUGAUCUGGCUAGACAACGGAUUGGAUGGGCCAGUUACAAUUGUUCUAAGGCCGUCAAGGUUUCAGCUACCACGAGCAACGCCAAUGUUGCCAGCAUUAAUGUUUGGCAUUUACUACUUGUUCUUGUAAUAAACUAUAGUGUUGCAGUUUCUAGGUGUUCUCUUUCACAGUAGUAGCCUCUUAAGGCAAUUUCCUAGCUCCACUUAUUGUAAAUUCAUGUAGUGAUUAAUUGCCUUUGUAAAUUAGAUUUUGAACACCUGUGUAUAACAAUAUUCUCCAUAGUUGCAUUUGAUUUUGAAUGAAAAUUUUGUUAAACGCUUCCCAA